GAUGAAGAACGUAGCGAAAUGCGAUACGUAAUGUGAAUUGCAGAAUUCAGUGAAUCAUCGAAUCUUUGAACGCAUAUUGCGCUCUCUGGUAUUCCGGAGAGCAUGCUUGUUUGAGUAUCAGUAAACACCUCAACUCCCUUUUCUUUUUUGAAAUUGGAGCUGGACUUGAGUGAUCCCAACGCUUUCUUCCAAGAAAGUGGCGGGUUGCUUGAAAUGCAGGUGCAGCUGAACUUUUCUCUGAGCUAUAAGCAUAUCUAUUUAGUCUGCCUAAAAAACAGAUUAUUACCUUUGCUGCAGCUAACAUAAAGGAGACUAGUUCUUGUGCUGACUGAUGCAGGAUUCACAGAGACAGCUUCGGCUGACUUUGUAAACUCGAUCUCGAAUCAAGUAAGACUACCCGCUGAACUUAAGCAUAUCAAUAAGCGGAGGA
rnacentral:misc_RNA from 1 species